CACGUAGGGUGCGAGCGUUGUCCGGAAUUAUUGGGCGUAAAGAGCUCGUAGGCGGUGUGUCGCGUCGGCCGUGAAAACCUGCAGCUUAACUGUGGGCGUGCGGUCGAUACGGGCAUCACUGGAGUUCGGCAGGGGGAGACUGGAAUUCCUGGUGUAGCGGUGAAAUGCGCAGAUAUCAGGAGGAACACCGGUGGCGAAGGCGGGGUCUCUGGGGCCGAUACUGACGCUGAGGAGCGAAAAGCGUGGGGGGAGCAAAACAGGG
rnacentral:rRNA from 1 species